rnacentral:rRNA from 1 species
CCCGCACAAGCGGUGGAGCAUGUGGUUUAAUUCGAUGAUACGCGAGGAACCUUACCUGGGCUUAAAUGUAGAGUGCAUUUUUUAGAGAUAGAAAUUCCCUUCGGGGCUUUUCUGCAAGGUGCUGCAUGGUUGUCGUCAGCUCGUGCCGUGAGGUGUCGGGUUAAGUCCCAUAACGAGCGCAACCCUUAUCGUUAGUUGCCAUCUGGUAAUGCAGGGGACUCUAGCGAAACUGCCACCGUAAGGUGAGAGGAAGGUGGGAUGACGUCAAAUCAGCACGGCCCUUAUGUCCAGGGCUACACACGUGUUACAAUGGUCGGUACAGAGGGCAGCUACCUGGUGACAGGAUGCUAAUCUCGAAAACCGGUCUCAGUUCGGAUCGAAGUCUGCAACUCGACUUCGUGAAGCUGGAUUCGCUAGUAAUCGCGCAUCAGCUAUGGCGCGGUGAAUACGUUCCCGGGCCUU